rnacentral:rRNA from 1 species
GCAAGUCGAACGCUUUUUCUUUCACCGGAGCUUGCUCCACCGAAAGAAAAAGAGUGGCGAACGGGUGAGUAACACGUGGGUAACCUGCCCAUCAGAAGGGGAUAACACUUGGAAACAGGUGCUAAUACCGUAUAACACUAUUUUCCGCAUGGAAGAAAGUUGAAAGGCGCUUUUGCGUCACUGAUGGAUGGACCCGCGGUGCAUUAGCUAGUUGGUGAGGUAACGGCUCACCAAGGCAACGAUGCAUAGCCGACCUGAGAGGGUGAUCGGCCACACUGGGACUGAGACACGGCCCAGACUCCUACGGGAGGCAGCAGUAGGGAAUCUUCGGCAAUGGACGAAAGUCUGACCGAGCAACGCCGCGUGAGUGAAGAAGGUUUUCGGAUCGUAAAACUCUGUUGUUAGAGAAGAACAAGGAUGAGAGUAAAAUGUUCAUCCCUUGACGGUAUCUAACCAGAAAGCCACGGCUAACUACGUGCCAGCAGCCGCGGUAAUACGUAGGUGGCAAGCGUUGUCCGGAUUUAUUGGGCGUAAAGCGAGCGCAGGCGGUUUCUUAAGUCUGAUGUGAAAGCCCCCGGCUCAACCGGGGAGGGUCAUUGGAAACUGGGAGACUUGAGUGCAGAAGAGGAGAGUGGAAUUCCAUGUGUAGCGGUGAAAUGCGUAGAUAUAUGGAGGAACACCAGUGGCGAAGGCGGCUCUCUGGUCUGUAACUGACGCUGAGGCUCGAAAGCGUGGGGAGCGAACAGGAUUAGAUACC